UUCCUUUCCUUUUCAUUCCAGUCCUUAAUUUUGUUUAAUUCCAUUGCAUUCUAUGCCAUUGUAUGAGGUUUCAUUCCAUUUUAUUCUAUGAAAUUCAAUUCCAUGCCAUUCCAUGCUGCUCUAUGAGGUAACAUGCCAUUCCAUGCCCUUCUGUGAGAUUUCAUUUCAUUCCAUUUCAUUCUAUGUCAUGCCAUUCAACGCCAUUGAAUGCCAUUCUAUGAGGUUUCAUUUCAUUCCAUUCAAUUCCACUCCACUCCAUCCUGUUCAAUUCUACAAAAUUUCAUUCCACUCCAUUCUAUACCAUUCUAAAAUAUUUUAUUUGGAAUCAGAUCUUUCCAGUCUUUCUGGCUUGUGUUCAGCUCAGACAGGGAAAAAAAUAAAUCCACAAUGGAUAAAACCCAUAAUUCCUUGGAAUGUGUUUCACUAAACAUCUUCCCCUUCUCCCAGACUGCUCAGACUGCUCCUGCCUCAGCUCGUUCAGUGUACCCACGUGAACUCUGAGACCCUUAGGAGAUUUUGAAUCCUUGCUGCCAGUCCAAAGAGGUCAUGUAUAACUCACAUUGGUGACAGAUUGUUGUUACCUCCAGCAAAAGUCAGGGGGGAUUUUAUAGACUCACACUUUUUUUUUUUUUUACUGAGCCUUUCCUGUUUCAGUUUCUUUAGAUGCCACUCCAGGUGAGCAGGACACCUCUGAACUUUAUUUCCCUGGUCUCCUGACACAUUUUCAUUCUUGCAGCUAGCUCUGGUUUCAGAGGGCAACCAUCCCUUGCCCUUUUCUCUUAACUUCUAGCAAGUAGAUGGCACUGCAGCCGGGUUUUGUGCAUCCACACUCAGGCAAGCUCCUGCUCAUGCACCUUGUUCCCUCCCACAUCUGCAGAGCAGAGCAGACUUUGAGGGCUGCAGCUCAGUAGGACAAUAAUCGUGGUGAAGUUCUCAGUUGCACGGGUAAACAUUAACACUGAGGCCACUGCCCUUCACAGAAAGAAAGAUCUCAUCUGGAGACACACACAUAUUUGUCCCACUCAUCCUUUUGGAAAUGCCUCCACAGAUUUUUUCAGAACAACAAUCAAUAUCCAGAAUCAGAAAAUGCGAGCGCUUUAUAAUCCAAGAUAUGCAGCUUCACAACUGAAAGUAACCUAUCAUCCAAAACCCUAAUUUCUAGGAAAAAGAAAGGUGGAAGACUUUCUUGAAAAUAUUUGGGGGAAGCAUUCUUCUUACUGGCUACAGAGCAAGGCAGCUAA